rnacentral:rRNA from 1 species
AUUGAACGCUGGCGGCAGGCCUAACACAUGCAAGUCGAACGAGUGGCGGACGGGUGAGUAAGGUCUGGGAAACCGCCUGAUGGAGGGGGAUAACUACUGGAAACGGUAGCUAAUACCGCAUACAAGCGGAUGGGCCAAGAUGGGAUUAGCUAGUGGGUGGGGUAACGGCUCACAUAGGCGACGAACCCUAGCUGGUCUGAGAGGAUGACCAGCCACACUGAAACUGAGACACGGUCCAGACACCUACGGGAGGCAGCAGUGGGGAAUAUUGCGCAAUGGGAGCAAGCCUGAUGCAGCCAUGCCGCGUGUAUGAAGAAGGCCUUCGGGUUGUAAAGUACUUUCAGCGGGGAGGCGUUACCCGCAGAAGAAGCACCGGCUAACUCCGUGCCAGCAGCCGCGGUAAUUC